rnacentral:rRNA from 1 species
CCCUUAGAUGUUCUGGGCCGCACGCGUGCUACACUGAGUAAAUCAAUGGGUAAGGGAACACGAAAGUGCAACCUAAUCUUGAAAUUUGCUCGUGAUGGGGAUCGACGGUUGCAAUUUUCCGUCGUGAACGAGGAAUACCUUGUAGGCACGUGUCAUCAUCACGCGCCGAAUACGUCCCUGCCCUUUGUACACACCGCCCGUCGCUCCUACCGAUUGAGUGAUCCGGUGAGGCUCUGGGACCUGGACGGAAAGAGCGUUUCGCUUGUUCUGUUUGGGAAACUUGGUCGAACCUUAUCAUUUAGAGGAAGGAGAAGUCGUAACA